rnacentral:rRNA from 1 species
UUCCGGUUGAUCCUGCCGGACCUGACUGCUAUCGGAUUGAUACUAAGCCAUGCGAGUCAUUGUAGCAAUACAAGGCAGACGGCUCAGUAACGCGUAGUCAACCUAACCUAUGGACGGGAAUAACCUCGGGAAACUGAGAGUAAUGCCCGAUAGAACAUUAUGCCUGGAAUGGUUUAUGUUCCAAAUGAUUUAUCGCCGUAGGAUGGGACUGCGGCCUAUCAGUUUGUUGGUGAGGUAAUGGCCCACCAAGACUAUUACAGGUACGGGCUCUGAGAGGAGUAGCCCGGAGAUGGGUACUGAGACACGGACCCAGGCCCUAUGGGGCGCAGCAGGCGAGAAAACUUUGCAAUGUGCGAAAGCACGACAAGGUUAAUCCGAGUGGUUUCUGCUAAAGGAACCUUUUGUCGGUCCUAGAAACACCGAUGAAUAAGGGGUGGGCAAGUUCUGGUGUCAGCCGCCGCGGUAAAACCAGCACCUCAAGUGGUCAGGAUGAUUAUUGGGCCUAAAGCAUCCGUAGCCUGCUUUGUUAGUUUUCGGUUAAAUCUGUACGCUCAACGUACAGGCUGCCGGGAAUACUGCAAAGCUAGGGAGUGGGAGAGGUAGACGGUACUCGGUAGGAAGGGGUAAAAUCCUUUGAUCUAUUGAUGACCACCUGUGGCGAAGGCGGUCUACCAGAACACGUCCGACGGUGAGGGAUGAAAGCUGGGGGAGCAAACCGGAUUAGAUACCCGGGUAGUCCCAGCCGUAAACCAUGCAAACUCAGUGAUGCAUUGGCUUGUGGCCAAUGCAGUGCUGCAGGGAAGCCGUUAAGUUUGCCGCCUGGGAAGUACGUACGCAAGUAUGAAACUUAAAGGAAUUGGCGGGGGAGCACCACAAGGGGUGAAGCCUGCGGUUCAAUUGGAUUCAACGCCGGG